rnacentral:sRNA from 1 species
ACAAGGCGGGACAUUGUACUUGGCGACAC